UACGUAGGGUGCGAGCGUUGUCCGGAAUUAUUGGGCGUAAAGAGCUUGUAGGUGGUUUGUCGCGUCUGCUGUGAAAAUCCGAGGCUCAACCUCGGACUUGCAGUGGGUACGGGCAGACUAGAGUGUGGUAGGGGAGACUGGAAUUCCGGGUGUAGCGGUGAAAUGCGCAGAUAUCAGGAAGAACACCCGUGGCGAAAGCGGCUCUCUGGAACGGUACUGACGCUGAGACGCGAAAGCGUGGGGAGCGAACAGG
rnacentral:rRNA from 1 species